GGGGCAGCAGGUCUUAGCUUGCUAAGGCCGAUGGCGACCGGCGCACGGGUGAGUAACACGUAUCCAACCUGCCGUCUACUCUUGGACAGCCUUCUGAAAGGAAGAUUAAUACAAGAUGGCAUCAUGAGUCCGCAUGUUCACAUGAUUAAAGGUAUUCCGGUAGACGAUGGGGAUGCGUUCCAUUAGAUAGUAGGCGGGGUAACGGCCCACCUAGUCUUCGAUGGAUAGGGGUUCUGAGAGGAAGGUCCCCCACAUUGGAACUGAGACACGGUCCAAACUCCUACGGGAGGCAGCAGUGAGGAAUAUUGGUCAAUGGGCGAGAGCCUGAACCAGCCAAGUAGCGUGAAGGAUGACUGCCCUAUGGGUUGUAAACUUCUUUUAUAAAGGAAUAAAGUCGGGUAUGGAUACCCGUUUGCAUGUACUUUAUGAAUAAGGAUCGGCUAACUCCGUGCCAGCAGCCGCGGUAAUACGGAGGAUCCGAGCGUUAUCCGGAUUUAUUGGGUUUAAAGGGAGCGUAGAUGGAUGUUUAAGUCAGUUGUGAAA
rnacentral:rRNA from 1 species